CAACUUUUUACGCGAGCUGUACUUUUUGACAAACGGCGUGCUCUCGUGGGUUAGGUUAUCCCGCCAUAACAGCUGCAAAAGGGACAGACAGCGCAUUCAUCGUUGUGAACAUAGGCGCUGUUACGGAGCGUUCGAAAACAUGGCGGUGCUGGAAAUUAAAACUGCGCGCCCCUGAAGUGAAGUACUCUAUCUACGAAGACGAAGGCAUCGAUUAUAAAAUGGUGCAGGAUCUUUAUUUGUCACAAAGAAUUUCAAUCAAGCAGCUAUACGAAACAGUGAAGAGACAAUAGCAUCGCGACAGAAGAGUCUACAAAUGAUUUUGAAAGAUCUAUUUAAUCGCUGAAUAAAUUUGAGCGACACCGUUGAUGGUGGCGCAUCCUGGCUGGAGAAUCGGGCUGCUGCACCGGGCUGCACCACCUCUUCGCGUUCGACGCAGACCAAGGCUCGUUAGUGCGUGCCCGUAAAUCAAGCCGCAGGGGUGCCAACCCGCUAAUAUUACCGGGGUUCCUUCAGGAUAGGAGGAGCACGUUCACGCCGCCGACGCGCACGAUGGUAUUUCUGAAGAUGGAAUACUUUAGAGUUGAAGUUAAACGAAGAAAGGACGAAUAUUUGCUCUAUCCUAAAGUGUUCGGUUCGGUUGGCGCAAGGCGGGUCCGCUCGAUUAUGGAAGAUAGCCGAAAUCACCGGUGGAUCGGAGGAUUAGAUCAGAAUUACCCAGACACGAGAUUCGUCGUACAGAAUCCUCGGUGGAGCCAAGCG